UGCUGUGUGCACAAAGUUAACGUACAGCCCUGCUGUUUAUUGAUGUCAUUUCUCAUGUACAUGUUGUGCAGCUGUUUAUUUUUUAUGGUCUGUUUUUAUAAAAGUGCUCCUGACGUCUCUAACGUGGCUUUGACCUGUAACUGAAAACGUGUGUCACCGUUCAGCCUGAAAAUACAGAUAAGAAUUUUUCGUCCAUAUCACUCAGCCCUGCUGUGAAAGUGCACCUUCAUGGGGGAACAGAAAAAGUUUGUCUCAGCCUCUCAGGACACUUGAUGCUUUGAAGGCUGAUUGCUACAGCAAACGUUUUUUUCCUGGAGGGUCUCUUACAUUAGUGGAGGAGCAUCCAGAAACCGGUCAGGCCUAACAGUGCUGCCCAGCGGAGCGUUGCAGCCAGACGGACAGAUUGGACACAACGGGAGACAAAUGAGCAGAGACUCGUGGAUUGAACACCAAAGUUGCAUCGACGACGAGCAGGGCAGCGAUCAGACGGUUCAACGAGCUGCAGCCACCCAGGAUGGAGGAGAGGAAGGUGGGAAGCAGCAGAGUGGCGGCAGCAGCCCGGUUAGCCAAGGCCGACGUGCAGCUUUACAUCGAGUGUGUCCUCCUUCUGACCCCCCCGAGUCCAUGAAAAAGAAACGUGUUCACAACCUGCAGCAUUACUUCUAAGAAAGACUCCACCUCACUCCUGUCACGGAGGAGGAGGAGGAGGGGGACGAAGAGGAAGAGGAGCAUAUGAAGUGACAGGAGGCAGCAGGGAACAUUACAGUAGAAGACAAAAGUAGAGAGAAUGAAGGAGAUGAGGUGAGUUUACACCCUGUUGGUGUAAUUGGAUUAAGAUGAAAUCGUUAAUGUUAACAGAGGGAUAAUCCCCUGAAUGUGUCAACACACAGCGCUGCCUGCUGCACCAGGAAUCUAAUCUGGACCCUUCCCACAGUCACCCGACAGAAAAUAAAAUUAUUAAAGAGAUACGCCGACGUUUUCGAGGAUGGUCCCAAUGUUCAGUCUGGUCAGUCAUUAAAGUUUCAAACGAAGGAGAAAUAAGGUUUUGUGCUGUCGUACAGGAUGAGUUUCACCUCAUGUGGAACAAAAUGUGCAGAUAAAAAUGGAGAAAUGUGUCACUUUAUCCAAAUCAACUGAGGACCAGGAAACCAUUGUGCAGUUGACCGUCAUGUCUGAGCUGGACAGAAGAAGGUCGAAAAAGUAUUCUAAUCUUUUUCAUAAGUAGAAGUUGCAAUACCACGAUUUAAAAAUACUCUGUAACGAGUAAAACUCCUGGACAGCAUUCAGAGUCUGAGUUAGACUCCCCCUGCACUCAGACAUGUGUUUUUCUUCUGUUCAUGUCCCCUAAAAUGUUUGACCUCGACCACACUGACUCAAAGUUUGUCACCAGAGAGGCGUUUUCAUGCUCCUCUCCUGAAGAGGAAGUGUGAUGUCUGUCUUCCCUAAAAUCUGAGAUUGGAACAUUUGCUGGGCGGCUGGAUCAGGUACGUCACUGAUACUAAAGUCAAUCACUGUCUAAUACAGGAAACA